GAGUGGUUAAAAGAUAGAACAGUCUAGUCAAGUGCCAUGUCUCUUAUUCUUGAUCAGCUAUAGCUCUGGGGUUUUUGCAGAUUUUUAAAUAAAACUCAGAGUUUCCUUGUAUGAUUCUCUCAGGUCUCUCUUUUGUGGUAUUUUUGGAUCCUUACCAAGGCAGUGAUGGUAUAUGCCUUCUCUCAAGAUAUGUAGUAUUUGUGGUAUAAAGCAUAAUGACAUUGCCUUCUCUCUCAUCCUACUCUAAUAAGGCUUUAAUAUCUGGAGCUCAUAGGUGGGAGAUAAAGUAUACAUACUUACAAGACAUUUAUUGCAUAGUCAAACCAUGGAUCCAAAGUAACAAAUCAAUAAGCCAAAUCAAGAUGUGCAUGUGUGGCGAAUGAAUGGUGUAUGGUGAUGAUGGUGAAAACAAUGGUGAAAACAAUGGUGGUGGAAGUCUAAUUCUACUUUUGCUCUUUUGAGGGGAUACAUACCUUCCUUGCUUUUUGAAACUUUAUGAGGAGAAUGAGAUGCUCUAUAUUUUUCUUUUCUCUCAGGUGGGUAUCUUGUACCCCUAAUUCUACUGUCGGACACUUGUCCAUUUUUACCUCUCGUCUCACUUUUCUUUUCUUUCGAGGUUCCGAGCACUUGCUCCUUUUUAUUUACUCGUAUAUUUUUUUUAUUAUUAUUAGAGCACUCAUCUCUUGAGAUAAUAUAGCAAGUGGUAGUAACAAGAUAACUUGAGCAUUUAUUUCACAAGGGGAAAACAGAAAUAUUUUUGGCUAUUCUUUCCCGGAUUAGGAGUAGAAUAUUUUUAGGUGGUUCUGGAGAUAGAAAUGAAUGGAUAUAUGUGGAUGGUACUUCCGGAGUAGAAGUAGCAUAUAUGAGUGAACGUGCA
rnacentral:lncRNA from 1 species